rnacentral:rRNA from 1 species
AUUGAACGCUGGCGGCAUGCUUUACACAUGCAAGUCGAACGGUAGCAGGCCGCAAGGUGCUGACGAGUGGCGAACGGGUGAGUAAUGCAUCGGAACGUGCCCAGUCGUGGGGGAUAACGCAGCGAAAGCUGUGCUAAUACCGCAUACGAUCUAUGGAUGAAAGCGGGGGACCGUAAGGCCUCGCGCGAUUGGAGCGGCCGAUGUCAGAUUAGGUAGUUGGUGGGGUAAAGGCUCACCAAGCCAACGAUCUGUAGCUGGUCUGAGAGGACGACCAGCCACACUGGGACUGAGACACGGCCCAGACUCCUACGGGAGGCAGCAGUGGGGAAUUUUGGACAAUGGGCGCAAGCCUGAUCCAGCAAUGCCGCGUGCAGGAAGAAGGCCUUCGGGUUGUAAACUGCUUUUGUACGGAACGAAACGGCGAGCUCUAAUACAGUUUGCUAAUGACGGUACCGUAAGAAUAAGCACCGGCUAACUACGUGCCAGCCGCCGCGGUAG